CUUAAGGAGAAGGGAUCAGACCGUUGAGUGGAUAAGGGAAGAGCGUGCCAGGCUGGAACAGGCUGUAAAGAGGCAAAGCGUGUGAGCCUUAUCAUCCAAUCAUCCGGAAAGCAACCUUGACUCUACAUGCUUCAAUAGUGCCCAUUUCGACUCUUGUAAACCCUUAUGCUUUCCAUAUAAAUAUGUAACCUCACUCAUUAAUAAGAACAUACAGUUUGAGCCUCUCUAAUCUCUUAGACACUAUGAUUAUCUCUUAGACUCUAAACGGCUCUAUCUAGUCUCUUAAUCUUUCACAAACUUCUCCUAAUCACUUCUUAAACACUCUCUUUAUUCUGAUUACUCUAAGGAUCUCUUAAUCUC
rnacentral:lncRNA from 1 species